AGUAUAUACGGUGGGCCAGCUGUGGACUGAAUUUCAAUUAUCAUUGCUUCAGCAUUAUAACCUUUAUAAUAACUGUAUAAGGUUUAUAAUUUUCUACAAUAAAUUUAUAUCUGUUGACUGGUAUUCGUAUAAAUAACCACACUGAUCGAUUGCAGGCAAGUCUUCUGUUCCAUUGUUCGUGGACGUACGUUGCAUCGAACUCUUUAUCAAUAAAAUAUUAAGAUGCCUUGUGGAGGUUGUGGCGAUAAUUGCAAAUGCACUCCGGCUCAGUGCUGCCAGAGUUGCAAGUGUGAUUCAUCCUGCUCAUGUUCUUGCAAGCGGUCGACCACUGACUCGACCACAAAAAAGAAUUGAUGAAGAAAUGUCUUCAAUAAUUUUGAAUUUUAAAGCAUUAAUCGUUUAUUCGUAAUGAAAAUAGAUAUAUUGUAAUUACGCUUUUUUUUGCAUUCAAUUCAGAAAAUAUCUUCUCCUUAAAAUUAUUUGUUAUCUAUGUGUAAUUUACAUCUUGUAAAAACAAAUUUAGGUGCAAAUAAUAAAAAAAACAAAAAAAUAGAACGCACAAUAUGUCCGUGCGUCACAUCCGUAAUCUGACAUGUGUUGGAAUAAUAUUGAUACCAAUUAUGCAAUUAUAUUGUUUCUUAUUUGGUAUUAAAUCAAUAAAUUGUUGCCUGUUACAAAAUAAUUAUCUUAAUAAUGUAUCUAAAUAAAUAACAAUGCAAUAA